rnacentral:rRNA from 1 species
UACGAAGGGGGCUAGCGUUGCUCGGAAUCACUGGGCGUAAAGGGUGCGUAGGCGGGUUUCUAAGUCAGAGGUGAAAGCCUGGAGCUCAACUCCAGAACUGCCUUUGAUACUGGAAGUCUUGAGUAUGGCAGAGGUGAGUGGAACUGCGAGUGUAGAGGUGAAAUUCGUAGAUAUUCGCAAGAACACCAGUGGCGAAGGCGGCUCACUGGGCCAU